CCUACGGGAGGCAGCAGUGAGGAAUAUUGGUCAAUGGGCGCGAGCCUGAACCAGCCAAGUCGCGUGAAGGAUGACUGCCCUACGGGUUGUAAACUUCUUUUAUAAAGGAAUAAAGUGAGGUACGUGUGCCUUUUUGUAUGUACUUUAUGAAUAAGGAUCGUCUAACUCCGUGCCAGCAGCCGCGGUAAUACGGAGGAUCCGAGCGUUAUCCGGAUGUAUUGGGUGUAAAGGGAGCGUAGAUGGGUUGUUAAGUCAGUUGUGAAAGUUUGCGGCUCAACCGUAAAACUGCAAUUGAUACUGGCAGUCUUGAGUACAGGUGAGGUAGGCGGAAUGCGUGGUGUAGCGGUGAAAUGCUUAGAUAUCACGAAGAACCCUGAUUGCGAAGGCAGCUUACUAAACUGUGACUGACAUUGAUGCUCGAAAGUGUGGGUAUCAAACAGGAUUAGAUACCCUUGUAGUC
rnacentral:rRNA from 1 species